UAAUACAUGCAAGUAGAGCGAGCGGAACUAACAGAUUUACUUCGGUAAUGACGUUAGGAAAGCGAGCGGCGGAUGGGUGAGUAACACGUGGGGAACCUGCCCCAUAGUCUGGGAUACCACUUGGAAACAGGUGCUAAUACCGGAUAAGAAAGCAGAUCGCAUGAUCAGCUUUUAAAAGGCGGCGUAAGCUGUCGCUAUGGGAUGGCCCCGCGGUGCAUUAGCUAGUUGGUAAGGUAAAGGCUUACCAAGGCGAUGAUGCAUAGCCGAGUUGAGAGACUGAUCGGCCACAUUGGGACUGAGACACGGCCCAAACUCCUACGGGAGGCAGCAGUAGGGAAUCUUCCACAAUGGACGCAAGUCUGAUGGAGCAACGCCGCGUGAGUGAAGAAGGUUUUCGGAUCGUAAAGCUCUGUUGUUGGUGAAGAAGGAUAGAGGUAGUAACUGGCCUUUAUUUGACGGUAAUCAACCAGAAAGUCACGGCUAACUACGUGCCAGCAGCCGCGGUAAUAC
rnacentral:rRNA from 1 species